UGAGAGCAUGAGGGUGGGAAUGGAUGUUUGUGUCUGUGUGUGCCUGUAUGUCUGUGUCUAUAUGUCAGGUUGGGUGUCAGGCGCCACCUCUCUGGGGACAUCUCAGGCCCUCCAAGGUUUGGAGGCCUAUCUCCACCCACCACCACUUCCCCUGCCAGUGGCGGACCCCCUCAGACAUCGGUGCGUUGGUGGUUCUUUGUGUCCGGGGAUGGGCGUCCAGCUGGCUGCCGGCGGAGCUCACGGGCGCGUCACUGCAACUCCCCCUGGCUUCUGCUCCGCGGCUGCUGAGUGAGCCCUCAUCUGGGACUCUCCUCAGCUCUUUCCGGGACAGUGGCGCAGCUGCCCCUCUGUUGGUCUUCCAUGGUCUCUUGUGUUCUGGGGGCCUCUGGAUGUCUGGAGUUUUGAUCUCCUCUACACCUGCUUCACGCUCUGGAGGACGGGGCUGUGGCCCCCCCACACCCUCUAGCAGAUUAUUACAUGAAGGAACCUUUUAAAAAAAAAAAAAAAAAAACAAGCGCGUCCAUGCUCACAGGUGUACACACGGGUGAUCACACCCACAAACUACACCCUUUUUGGCUCCUACCUCAAAGCACACUGUGUUCUGUUGAUCUUAUGUGCUGCACAAUAAUGUUUAAUAUUUAGUAUUUACUGUCAUAUUCCCAUAUAUCAUUGUGAUGUUGUUUAUUCUAUUAGUCUUGUUCUCUUCUGCUUGCUUUCUUUUUUCUUUCUCAGCAGGUGACCCAGGUGAUUGAUAUAUGCAUUUUUUUUUCUCUGCCCGUUCUGUUGUUUUUUCUCUUUUGCCCUUCUCCCCCGUCCCUCUUCUCAGCUGUUUCUCUUUCCCUCUUUCUUUCUCCCCUUCUUUCCCCCAGUCAAGUCUGUCCCGUAUUCAGUAAGUGAAAAUAAAAUAAACAAUAAAAGGUGAAUCAAAUGGACCAUUACGGCAAGGCUGGGAUGGUCAGUUUGGUAAAGUAAAUCCGUUGGGCAUCUUUCUUUGCCUUUAGACAACAAUUCUGAUGGCAAAAGAGCCAAACAGGACAGGCAAAAAAAAAAAAAAAAAAAAAGGAGUAGCUUUACGCCUAUCCCUUUGUAUGGACCUUUUACCUACUUGGCAUCCAAACGAAGCCUUGCAACAAGGAAACUUCAACUAUAGUUGCUUAGUGUGUGGCUAAAAUGCAUCCCGGACUGGUUAGGAGUCCAUCCAUCCAUUCGCUUCCGCUUAUCCUUUUCAGGGUCACGGGGGGCGCUGGAGCCUAUCCCAGCUGUCAUAGGGCAAGAGGCGGGGUACACCCUGGACAGGUCGCCAGUCUGUCGCAGGGCCAACACACAGGGUCAGACAACCAUUCGCACUCACAUUCACUCACACAUUCACACCUAGUGGCAAUUUGGAUUAUCCAAUUAACCUAUCCCCACAAGCUGGUUAGGAGUAAAGAUUAAAAUACAUGAAUACUCCUAUGACAGCUUCUGCUGGGUUUUUGAUAAAGAACAGUAAAGGUUCCCUAUUGAUUAGUGCUGUAUGAG
ensembl:lncRNA